rnacentral:rRNA from 1 species
UACGAAGGUGACAAGCGUUGUUCGGAAUCAUUGGGCGUAAAGCGCACGUAGGCGGGUUUGAAAGUCGAUUGUGAAAACCCUGGGCUCAACCCGGGACCUGCAGUCGAAACUUCAAGUCUUGAAUACUCGAGAGGAUGGUGGAAUUCCAGGAGUAGAAGUGAAAUUCGUAGAUAUCUGGAGGAACACCGGAGGCGAAAGCGGCCAUCUGGCGAGUUAUUGACGCUAAGGUGCGAAAGCGUGGGGAUCAAACAGG